AAAGGAAGGAAAAGAAAGUCAGGGGAGGGGAGGGGAGGAGGGGAGGGAAAGCCUCUUUUCUCCGGCUGCCAAAGGCGCCAACUGCCCUCUUCCAAGCAACUUCUCUCUCACCGUCCAGAGUCCGCUUUCCCCAGCCACGCAACAGCACCCGCAGCAGCAGCAGCAACUCCCUUCGCCGAACAGGAAACCUUCCUUCUCCCGCGCCGAGCGGUUCUGAGCUGAGCUUCGUGGGCAAACAGGAAGCCUCGUCGGAUGAUGCUCUUGAGAGUUUAUGUGUGGAAGGAAGGAAGGAAGGAAAGAAGGAAGGAAGGAAGGAAAGGAGGAAGACUGUAUUUUAAAAUAUCAAACACACAGCCUUCAUGUUGUGAUCAUGGAUAUUGUCAUUUUCAAGAUAAAAAUGCUCAAAGUAAGAAUAUUUCUACUACAUUGAUCUCUUAAGAAUCAGCAUUGUUCUUCCCAACACAAGAAGUCCUCCUUCCUGGGACCUGGAUUUUACUGCUUCCGUCUCUGUCUUCAUAUCACUUCUACAACACAGUGCCAAAAACUCCCUUGUACUGUUUCAGCUCUGAAUAUUAAAUGGUAUUUUUGAGUAUUUGAUCCAUUGAAAAGCUUUUCCUGUGAGGUAUCUGAUACUGUACUGUUUUUUCCUUAAGAAGAUUCAAAUUCCUAUGAAAAACCAAGAGAUGCUCCUUAUUGGCGUUUGAAGAGAUGACACAACUUCCUCCUUUGUCUAAGAUCCUUUUGCCCACCCUUUAUUUAGUACGAAAAAGGGAAAUGACAGUAUUUUUGUUGUCAAACCGACCACAAAGGCUUUUUAAAUAACAGGAUCAGCAAGUAUUGAAUGUGUCACAACUAUGAACAGUUUUCCUCAUACA
rnacentral:lncRNA from 1 species